rnacentral:rRNA from 1 species
UGCAUAUCAAAAAGCUGAGGAAAAGAAACCAACUGGGAUUGCCUUAGUAACGGCGAGUGAAGCGGCAAAAGCUCAAAUUUGAAAUCUGGUACCUUUGGUGCCCGAGUUGUAAUUUGUAGAGUACCACUUUGGGACUAUACUUUGCCUAUGUUCCUUGGAACAGGACGUCAUGGAGGGUGAGAAUCCCGUGUGGCGAGGGUGUUAGUUCUUUGUAAAGGGUGCUCGAAGAGUCGAGUUGUUUGGGAAUGCAGCUCUAAGUGGGUGGUAAAUUCCAUCUAAAGCUAAAUACAGGCGAGAGACCGAUAGCGAACAAGUACAGUGAUGGAAAGAUGAAAAGAACUUUGAAAAGAGAGUGAAAAAGUACGUGAAAUUGUUGAAAGGGAAGGGCAUUUGAUCAGACAUGGUGUUUUGCGCCCCUCGCUCCUUGUGGGUGGGGGACUCUCGCAGCUCACUGGGCCAGCAUCAGUUUUUGCGGCAGGACAAAACCUUGGGAAUGUAGCUGUGCGCCUCGGUGUACAGUGUUAUAGCUCUUGGGAAUACUGCCAGCGGGGACUGAGGACUGCGAUACUUGUUAUCUAGGAUGCUGGCAUAAUGGUUAUAUGCCGCCCGUCUUGAAACACGGACC